AAGAAUUCAUUUAGGUAUACGUUCAAUGUUUCCAAUGAUGAGCAGUUAAUCCACUAAACCCAGAGAUAAUUCCUGAGGCAUGUUUAAAGAGUUUUGUAUUUCAUCAAGAAGGUGCUGAUUCACAAAGAUUUUAAAUUUAAGAAAAUCUGAGCAUCAUUCCAAAUAACUGUUAACAUGUUUGUCAACUAAACAUGUUUUGUAAACGUAAUAAACUUUAUAAAAAUAUUUUUUAUUUUGUAUUAAUAAUCAAGUAUAAAGAACAAUGCAUAGUGUGAAAAUGCGGAUUAUAAAAAAGUAUAUUAAAGAAAAGGACUACAUUUCCCAGAAUGCACCUGCACCCACUCAUCUGACUGCCCCCACCCUUCAGGUGCGACUGCUCAACCUAUGGGCUUGACGGAAAAUUCAAAUCGCGAACCGUUACUGCCUGGACUACUCCGUCUCUUGUUUGUUUGUUUGCUCAUUAACAGUAAGAGGUCAUGUACACUGUGGUCAACUUUGUGGACGAUGAAGAGGUUUCUGGGUAAAGAUGAUAGAAAUAUAAUGAAGUAACAGUGAAAGCUAAAACAUCAGACUGAUCCAGACACUGAAGAAAUUGAUGUCACUGCAAUCUGGCCAAAAUGAUACAACUAUAUUGAAGUAGCCUACUGUAAUGAAGCUGCAGAACAACACAGAGACUCUUGAGGACAUCAACACAGAAAAUGAAGGCUCCAAAGAGAUGUCUGUCCAGAUGAGGGUGCAUCAAUGUUACCUUUGCUGACAAGUAUAUGCUUUACAAUGUAAAACCUAACAGUUAACUUAACUCAAACCAUUUAAGGAAAUCGGUUGCCUUAACCCAUUAAGUUUUAAAAAACAUACAUUUGAGUACUGUGAACUUAAGUCUUGUGCAAUUAUGCACUUAUAUUUAGUUAGUGUGAACUUAAAUAUAAGUGCAUAACUGCAUGUGACUCAAUUUGUUUAAGUUCACAGUACUCAAAUCCAUGUGUUUUAAAACUUAAAUGGUUUAAUGCAACCGGUUUUCUUAAAUGGUUUGAGUUUAGUUAACUUUUAGGUUUUACAGUGAGAAAUUCUUGAAUAAUUCCAAGACAGAGCUCUGCAAUUGAAUCAACACUGCAAAAAAUCAGUUUCUAACUUAGGAUUUUUAUCUUGUUUUUAGUAGAAAAACUAAAAAUUCUUAAAUCAAGAUGUAUUUUCUUGAUGAGCAAAAUUACCUAAGAAAAUGUCUAGUUUUUAGACAAAAAUAUACAAUUUAAGUAAAUUUGUGCCUGAACAAGCAAAAAUAUAUAACAAUGGGGUGAGAAAAUUGUGCUUGAAUUAAGUUUUUAAGAAAAAAGAAAACUU